GAAUCAUUGUUUCCGAGUUUAUAUAUCUUAAAGCUACUUUUUUUUUUGGCAGGUGUUUGUUUUGACCAUGCUAUAUGUUGUGUGGGCGUGGCAAGGCAGAACUUUCACAAAUUAAUAACACUUUGGUUUUUUGGAGCAUCGUCCGGGUUCAACACACUAAGCUGAAACCAAAAACCCAAAGAACUUGGAGAGCGGCAUUUUAAUUGAAUUCGCGAGGUGAACAGACACAGAAAAGCGAAGAGAUAUGGAAUGGGUUGGAGGAGCAGCUGGCGGACCGAAAUUUCCAAGAACCCGCCGCUCAGAAGAUAUAUUCACUUAUGCUGAGCCAUCCAUGGGCUUGUAUCUUUGUAUCUCGGUAUCUGGGUAUCUGCCAAGUGUACGAGACGAGACGACAGGCGCAAGCAAAUAAACCGAGUUUGAACGCCAAAAUAAGAAGCAAGGAGUCAAAAUGAGCAAAUCGGCUAAGAAAUAAUGAGGAAUGGAGCUUGCAAUAAAAAUACUUGGGCAAAAGGGUCUCCUUGAAGCUGUAAGAAAUUGUUUCCU
ensembl:ncRNA lncRNA:CR44545 long non-coding RNA:CR44545